rnacentral:siRNA from 1 species
CACGAAACAGGAGACGCGGUGAAG